AUGUCCCAGUCUGGAAAAGUCCUUCAUCUUUAUGUGGAAGUGAGUUCUGCCCCAGGUCAGAAUGGAAAGUGUGAUGAGGGACUGGCUCAGGGGAUUUCAGGUCAGGACAGUCCUGUGGAGCUCCUCUCUCAGCUGAGUCAAGCCACCAUUGGGGACACCUCCCCGGUCCACUGCCUGGAUCAGGACCACACGCACAGACAGUCUCUAUCUCAAAAUGUGGUUAACCGUCAGCUCCAACAUGCUCCAACCUCACCUACAGUCACCAAGAGUUGGAGUUCCUCCAUCCACCCCUCCCCCUCUUCUAGAGGUGCUGAUGUCUCUCGCACUCCUCCUGAUGGGAAACGGUCUGUGGUCAGCUUCCGUUACGUUGAGAAGUCUAAUGUGAAGACAGUGGACAGUCCAUGUAAGUCUGUGUGUGAGAGACAAGUCAGAGACGAGCAAUCGACCCACUCCCUUCAUCAUCUUAGUGAUUCCAUGUGGUUUGGAUGUCCCGAUUCAAUGUGCAGCUCCAGCCCCAAAGCGCCUUUCCAGUCUCCAGAGAGUCACCAGCAGACGUUCUCCCUCGGCCUUCGACAGCCACACUUGGAUCCGAUCGGCAGGGCAGCUACCCAGAGGGCUGUGGAGGAGUUUGGCUCCCCGUUACUGAGGAUCAAACUGGCCCACGCACUCGAGCACACCUCCUCCUCUCGUUUUAACCAUCAGCCACGCUGUCAGUCCUGGGCCGGGUCUCCUGUUCAGCGUCAGAACUUCAGCAUAAACCUCAAAGACGCCACAGAUAUCAGACAGGACUUUCACAGGCUACUUCAAAGCCCAGCAUCAGAUCAGCUUUCUUCCCAGUCCAGGAUUUGCUGUCAGUCGAACCCUGGACUACCUGCUAAACCUCGGAGCUCUCUUCACUGUCCAGGAGAAGACAGAACCAUAGCAGAGAGUCCUGCCACCCAAAGGCCCACUGACAGGAACUCGUCACUGCAGGGAGAAAUCCUCCAACAUGGCAAUAACGGAGACGAGGGUUUAAACCAGUUAAGUGACUGUGAGUUUUCUUCUGCAGUUCCUAGCCGUGAAGCUGCUCUCAGACCAGCAGACAGGACUUCCAAAGGGUCUUCCCUGUUCACAGAGGUGAGGAGGUCCUUGUUGCACAACUCUUCAGGUGAGCGCCUGAGUAGUUCAAACACUGGAGAUUCAACUCCAAACGCACAACACUUUAAAGAAACACUGAAGAUGAGCAUCCCUUUAAAGGACCAAAAGACUCCAGCAGCUGCUGAGAUAGACCCUCACCAGCCGGAAGCCCCUCAUGGUCAUCAUGGCACACACCAGGAGCUCUGCUUUCAGAAACACAGCUGCUUUGUUUUGGAUCAGAGUGCCCCCACCCUUACCUCACAAGUCCACCGUCCAUCUCAUCCUCCCACUGAGAUCAGUUCUCCCAUCAGAGAUCCGAGGCUGUUCCAGACUGAGUUUCGAACACCAGACACUCCCACUCUGCAUCGCCAUCAGCCUCCGCAGUACACCGGAGACUCCUGGUCCCCAUGCCACCACGACAGGAGAGGAGACCUGAGCUGCUUCGACAGGGAGGACUGCACAGAGCUAGCACGUAGGCUCUUCAUCAAUGAAAGCGUAGAGGCUCCAGUCAGCUGGACUUCCAGGCAGCAGUGGAGGACCCAUGUGGAGAACAUCCCAGAACCUGGGUUUGAGGCCAUCACUCAACAAACUCAAGAAUUCAGUAAACAGCACCAGCCACUCAGCCCCACGGCCCAACAGAAACGGGCCGAGCAGCGGAGGAGAGAGAUUCUUCUGCUCGGACCAGUGGCUCUGGACUCUGAAGAGGAGGAGGAGGAAGCGCGUGAAGUGGAGGGAUGUGAUACAAGGCAGGUGGAGCAGAAUGGAUCAAUACCCGGGUCAUCAUCACGAAGCUCUAGUGGGGUGACCGGGAGUUUGGGGGACCAAGACUGUAUAUCUCCAGGGACCAGUCAGUCCAGCCACCAAAGCAACGAGACCGGACCUGCAACCUCAGGAAUACAGUUUCUAGAGUUGGGGCACACCUGA
rnacentral:lncRNA from 1 species